UGAGGAAUAUUGGUCAAUGGGCGAGAGCCUGAACCAGCCAAGUCGCGUGAAGGAAGAAGGUUCUAUGGAUUGUAAACUUCUUUUGCACGGGAAUAAAGUGAGCUACGUGUAGCUUAUUGUAUGUACUGUGCGAAUAAGGAUCGGCUAACUCCGUGCCAGCAGCCGCGGUAAUACGGAGGAUCCGAGCGUUAUCCGGAUUUAUUGGGUUUAAAGGGUGCGUAGGCGGGAGAUUAAGUCAGUGGUGAAAGUUUGCAGCUUAACUGUAAAAUUGCCAUUGAAACUGAUUUUCUUGAGUGUAAAUAAGGUAGGCGGAAUGUGUUGUGUAGCGGUGAAAUGCAUAGAUAUAACACAGAACCCCGAUUGCGAAGGCAGCUUACCGGGCUACAACUGACGCUGAGGCACGAAAGCGUGGGGAUCAAACAG
rnacentral:rRNA from 1 species